rnacentral:rRNA from 1 species
UGAGGAAUAUUGGUCAAUGGGCGAGAGCCUGAACCAGCCAAGUAGCGUGCAGGAUGACGGCCCUAUGGGUUGUAAACUGCUUUUAUGUGGGGAUAAAGUGCGUGACGUGUCAUGCAUUGCAGGUGCCACAUGAAUAAGGACCGGCUAAUUCCGUGCCAGCAGCCGCGGUAAUACGGAAGGUCCGGGCGUUAUCCGGAUUUAUUGGGUUUAAAGGGAGCGUAGGCUGUCUAUUAAGCGUGUUGUGAAAUUUACCGGCUCAACCGGUGGCUUGCAGCGCGAACUGGUCGACUUGAGUAUGCAGGAAGUAGGCGGAAUUCAUGGUGUAGCGGUGAAAUGCUUAGAUAUCAUGACGAACUCCGAUUGCGCAGGCAGCUUACUGUAGCAUAACUGACGCUGAUGCUCGAAAGUGCGGGUAUCAAACAGG